UUUCCUUAAAUUCAGGGUCCAGCUCACAUGGGAAAUACUUUCUGAGAGUCCUGGACCUCCUGUGCAAGAACAUGAAACAUCUGUGGUUCUUCCUUCUCCUGGUGGCAGCUCCCAGAUGGGUCCUGUCCCAGCUGCAGCUGCAGGAGUCGGGCCCAGGACUGGUGAAGCCUUCGGAGACCCUGUCCCUCACCUGCACUGUCUCUGGUGGCUCCAUCAGUAGUUACUACUGGAGCUGGAUCCGGCAGCCACCAGGGAAGGGACUGGAGUGGAUUGGGUAUAUCUAUUACAGUGGGAGCGCCUACUACAACCCAUCCCUCAAGAGUCGAGUCACCAUAUCAGUAGACACGUCCAAGAACCAGUUCUCCCUGAAGCUGAGCUCUGUGACCGCCGCAGACACGGCCGUGUAUUACUGUGCGAGAGACACAGUGAGGGGAGGUGAGUGUGAGCCCAGACAAAAACCUCCCUGCAGGGAGGCGGAGGGGGCGGGCGCAGGUGCUGCUCAGGACCAACAGGGGGCGCGCGAGGCCACAGAGCAAGAGGCCGGGUCAGGAGCAGGUGCAGGGAGGGCGGGGCUUCCUCAUCAGCUCAGUGCUCUCCCUCCUCGCCAGCACUCAGAUGUCCCCAGGGCUCCUCUUUCUUUAUUAUCUGUGGUUCUGCUUCCUCACAUCCUUGUGGCAGACAAGAAAGGAGGAAGACAAUUUUUCUGUUUACUGUUGAGGUUUCACCAAUUACUAGGAACUUUCCUACAAGUUCCUGCGUGACUCAUUUUACCAUAUA